rnacentral:lncRNA from 1 species
UGGACACGGCGCCUCGCCCCUAGAUCUGCAUCGGAAUGCAGAAAAGAUCUUUAAGGGAAAAAAAAAAGUUUUGAAUUCCUCAAUGAUUUUUUUUCUGGAAAGGCAGCUUAGGAUAAUUAUUUCAGCUUUAUUGAGGGCAGAUUAGUUGAAGUCUGGGCGCUGCGUUUCAAUACGCGUUGUACACGGGCCGACAAUGUGG